CACUCGGUAUCAUGUUUCAACACACUUUAGGUCAAUAUCACACCGGAAUUCUCCUUUAACUGAAGCCUACUAACCGACACUUUAAGAAGACUUCGCUCCAGUUUUUCAGUUUCCCUGUAGGUGAUCCAGACAGGCUGGGUGCUGGAGAGGGCUCUGGACUCCUAACUUCACUUCUCGUCCGUGCAGUCGACUCAGAAGCAUCACUUGAGUACUGAUUCCAUGAUCUGGAACAUUUUGAAAUCCUACCAGAUGGGGCACAAGUCAUUGAGCAGUGGCAGCUUCUGACUUCAAAGACUUUGUUCACCAGCAGACCCCUUGAUGAUUACCUUUAUUUACAGCAUUUGCAUCUGUCAGUCUUUAAAGUGAUCUAAUAUGUAUUGAUUAUGUACUAGCUUAGUGCAUAUUAGUUUUUGUUAUUUUAGUUUCACAAAUUCAGUGGUUACCUGUAAUGCUCAAGAUAUACAAGUAAAAAAUCACCUUUACUUCUGCAUCUGGGUCUUCAAUUCAACCUACUGACUGAAGCUGACAGAUUUGUAUAAAUGUUUUUGAGAGCACAGGCAAAUUG